rnacentral:rRNA from 1 species
GAUGAACGCUAGCGGCAGGCCUAAUACAUGCAAGUCGAACGGUGUCUUCGGACAUAGUGGCGCACGGGUGCGUAACACGUAUGCAACCUACCUUACAUUGGGGGAUAGCCUUUCGAAAGGGAGAUUAAUACCGCAUAAGACAGUAGCUGGGCAUCCAGCAGCUGUUAAAGAUUUAUCGAUGUAAGCUGGGCAUGCGUCCAAUUAGCUAGUUGGUGAGGUAACGGCUCACCAAGGCAAUGAUUGGUAGGGGAACUGAGAGGUCAAUCCCCCACACUGGCACUGAGAUACGGGCCAGACUCCUACGGGAGGCAGCAGUAGGGAAUAUUGGGCAAUGGACGAAAGUCUGACCCAGCCAUGCCGCGGGCAGGAUGAAGGCGUUAUGCGUUGUAAACUGCUUUUAUACAGGAAGAAACGACUCUUGCGAGAGGCAUUGACGGUACUGUAUGAAUAAGCACCGGCUAACUCCGUGCCAGCAGCCGCGGUAAAAC